rnacentral:lncRNA from 1 species
UUGCGGAUUAUGAUUGCCCGAUGGAAGUCCGGGUUUUCGCUAGCCCAUUUUCGUUGUCGGCUAGUAGGUUAGGUGUCAGAGAUUGGGCAUGGGGAUAGAGCCAGAGUAGUAGGGAUGAGGAAAGACCCCAAACGCUAUGCAUUCAACCAAUGGGACUAAAGCCCUUAUAUACUCCAAUAGUUCGCCUAGUGGCUUUAGAUACUCCAAGCCUUGGUCUAGUCCUUGCGAGUCUUAUACCAUAGGCUAAGGAGAUGGACCUAUUGAUAUGUAUUCAACCUACCCGCUUCUCUUAUAGAGCUUACUUGGUCGCCAAUCUCCUGCUCUAUUGACCAGAGAUGACAUGACUCCUUACGCAUGAACUCUGUCGACUAGAGGAGUACCAAUAGAAGACGACCCUAUGCUCUCAUUUAUGGGCUUUCACGAUCAUAAAUAGGGAUUUCUAUCGCUGUAAGGAAUGGGUUCAUGACCCUUCUUCAUCGACCUUAUUCUCCUACUUAUUGGGUUUCUCGGUCUUAAAUAGGUCGAUGACUACGACUGUUUGGCAUACUCCACAACAAGGUGUUGAUCACCUUCGUACUCCGCUUUAUAGCCAUAUAUUUAACCGCCUUCUUAGGGCUAAAGAGUUCGCAAGUGGACCAGGGAUUGACCGGAAACACUAGUACUAUAUGCCUCGACCGCGACUUGCUGUGGUCUUGGGCAUGGGAAUAGAACCAGAAUAGAAAGCUGAACAAAGACCUUUAUUUAUAGGAUUUCUUCCAUGGCUUGCACCUACAUAAGCCAUACUGCCAUAGUCACCCAUAUCCGCAUAUAUGUCACUUCUUGAUCGAAAAUUGAGUGAUGCCGUGCCGUCGGGUUAGUUUCUUUAAUGCUGUAUUCUUUCCAGCUGUUUCAGCUCGUAAAAAGACUGACUUUUUCAUUUAGAUAUAGUAAAAUUUCAUGCUGCCAUUCGAGGGCAAAAGGAUAGAAGCAUGCCGAUGCGCGAAAUAGAUUCCCAGUUCUUUUUUUGGGGGGUCUCUUCUCUUCCGCAUGCGCCUAUAGAACGAAGAGUGUGAACAGUGUGAUUGUAUGCUGCGAAGACCUUUGGCCUACCUGAUCAGGUUGUUAAAAGCCGGACUUUCUUCUAUAUAUAUUCUAAAAGUGUAUCGAAUAGAAAAGUGCAUCUGCUCUUCGAUC